rnacentral:rRNA from 1 species
GACAGAGGGUGAGCAAACGUUGUUCGGAAUUACUGGGCGUAAAGCGCGUGUAGGCGGCUUUGCAAGUCGGGUGUGAAAGCCCUCGGCUCAACCGAGGAAGUGCGCCCGAAACUGCAGAGCUUGAGUACCGGAGAGGAUGGCGGAAUUCCCCAAGUAGAGGUGAAAUUCGUAGAUAUGGGGAGGAACACCGGUGGCGAAGGCGGCCAUCUGGACGGAUACUGACGCUGAGACGACGAAAGCGGUGGGGAGCAAACAGG